ACUUCCGGUGGGGAAAGUCCCACCUCUUCGGGGCGAGCCGGGUGGCGCUGGAGCCGCGCCCUGCUGAGCGAGCGAGCCGGCCGGGGACGGUUUCGGGUCGGGACUCCGGCUUCGGGAACGGGCCUCUGGAAACCUGCGACGUCAGUCCUUACCCGCCCGCGGCUGCCGCGGACCGUCCCACCCCCAAACCCGUAGAAGCCCCUCCGACCUGCAACCUCCAGCCGCCCGGCCCUAGGACUUGAGCGGCUCCCUGGCCGGUGCGGAACCUGCGGGCUAAUAAUCUAGCGACCGGGAGAACGCCAAACAUCCCUGGACUAGAAGUUGCAGGGGAAAUCAAACAGCCCAGAAAGUUUAUUCUCCUUGCUGGUAUUUCUUCCACUUGCUAUUUUGCUGAGAGAUGCAUGCAAACUACCCUUAGACUUUCAGAUGCAGUGCGUUUUACUUAGCCGUGCCUGACAAACACACAGAACUUUUACCGUCUGGUAGAUCCGCCUUGACUUUACCAGCGAAUACUAAAGUCACUUAAAAAAAAAUCACAAGGCUCGAAAACAGCAGCAUUAGAAGUAGACUUUAUGGUACUCUGCUCAGCUAUGUUCUCAUUUGAUUCCAACCACUACACGGCAGAAAAGACUGAUGAGCUUCUCUGUGCAAGGGUGCCUUUUUGGAGCAAUGUCCCCAUUCGGUCCAUUGAUAUGAACCACUUCAUUGAAUGUCUUAGACGGAAAGAAGACUGAAUAAUGAUUGGAAGAACGCCGGAGUCAUCAAGCUCUUUUGAUAACUGCAUAUGUGAACUAGGUCAAGUCACUCUCCCUCAACGGAUCACCAGUUUACCCAACUGUAAAUGGCAACAAUUUUGAACUGAACGUUCUUCCUUCUACAGCCAAAAUUCUUCGUUUGCUAGGUUUGUGAAGUGCUUUUAUAUGUAUGAGCGCUUUCUUAACUAUGAAGAUAUCUGAGUCAUCGAACUUUUGGUGGGGGCAAUCUCAUGAUCAGUCAUGACUAGAUUUUAGAGUUUUCUCAUCCCCAUACUCAAAGUUUUUUUUUUAAGAAUAAAAAUGAAAAGAAACAAUACCCCACAAUAUUUCUGAGCCUCAAAGGACAGACUAAAAAAGCUAACUUUUAAAAUACUUCAUUUUGAAAUAAUUUUGAACUUACAAAAAAAUCGCAAAAAUAAUACCUGGAGUCCCUGUAUACCCUUCACCCAGAUUCCCCUACUGUUAAAUACUUACAUAACCAUAACACAAUUACCAAAACCAGGAAAUUAACACUGGUACGAGACUCUUAACAAGAGAUCUUAUUUGAAUGUCACCAAUUUUCUUCCUAAUGUUCUUCUGUUCUAGGAUCCAAUCCAGGUUCCCACAUGGCAUUUAUUCCUCACUUCUCCUUAGUCUCCUCCAAUCUGUGACACUUUCUAAGUCUUUCCUUGUCUUUCAUGACCAUGACACUUUGGAUGAGUACUGGUCAUUUAUUCUGUAAAAUGCCUCUCACUUUGUGUUUGUUGAAUGUUUUCUCAUGAUUAGACCGAGACCAUGUCUUUUUGGCAGGAACAUCACAGAAAUGGUGUGUAUCCUAUCUGAGGGUAUGUGAUAUUGAUAUAUCUUAUCACUCAUUAUGUUAACCUUAAACACCUGGUUAAAGUGGCAUCUGCUGGGUUUCUCCACUGUAAAGUGACUAUUUUCCCUUUAUUUAUUUAUUUUAGAAACAGGGUCUUGCUGUGUUGCCCAGGCUGGAGUGCAGUGGCACAAUCACUGCUCACUGCAGCCUCAAUCUCCCAGGCUCAAGCGAUCCUCUGCCUCCUGAGUAGCUGGGACUACAGGCAUGCACCAUUAUGCCCAGUUAAUUUUUUUAAAAAUGUUUUGUAUAGACAGGGUCUCGCUAUAUUGCCCAGGCUGGUCUCAAACUCCUGGCCUCAAAAGAUCCUCCCACCUCGGCCUCCCAAAGUGCUGGGAUUAAAGGCAUGAGCCAGCCACCAUGCCUGGUCUAUUUUUUAUUGAUAAAUGAAAUAGACCAUGCCUGUUCUAUUUUUAAUUGAUAAAUAUCCUGGGAGAAAUACUUUGGGACAAUGCAAAUAUCCUGUUUCUCCUCCAACUUUUACCCACUGAUUUCAGCAUAUAUCAGUGGAUCUUGCCUGCAACCAUUAUUACCAUGGCAUUUGCCUACUAGUGAUUUUGUGUUUCCUUCAUUUGUUCUCCAUUUAUUAAUUGGAAUUCUUCUGUAAGGAGGAGUUGUCCCUUCUCCCCAACUUAUCCAUUUAUUCAAUUUUUUUUGUAAACUAUGGACUCAUGGGCAUCUAUUUUAUUCUAUGAGCUAUAAUUCAAUACUGUCAUCAUUUAGUUUCUUGCUCAAGUUAUUCUAACUUCAGCCAUUGGGAGCUCCUUCAGACUGGCUACUAUGCUGUCUUGUCAUGCCCCCACCCUUUCUCUAGCACUUUCUUACAUUCUUACACCAAAAGACAUUACAGCCUCAUCUUGUAUUUUCCCUGCUUCUGUCCAGAAUUAGCCAUUAUUCCAAAGAUCCCGAGUUCCUUUAUUGGAGAAUGAUAUUAGACACAAAGAUGUGGGUACUAAGUAUACUCGUUGCUGUUGGGGUGUUAAUUGCUUCUAGGGCUUCCCAAGACAGAGCUAGGAAAUGAAAGCAUACAUAAUAACCCAUGCAUACACACAGAUCAAUAUCUAUUCCUGUAUCUAUCUGUAUACAUACUCAUGUGUCCUUUCUAAUCCACACCACGGUAUUCAUCCUAACCUUCCCUUUUUAUUUUUAACUUUUUUCCUCUGAUAGUGAGAAAAUAGGCUCUCAUUAUCUACUCUAUAUACAUUUAUUUGUUCAACCUCAGUAUCUACAUACUUACAUAUGCCUGUGAGGAACAGAUUUACUAACUAGAAUCCUGUAUUUGUGUGCAAUUCUUUUUAUCUUUAUUAUAAAUAUAGCACCUCCAGGCUUCUUUUUAUUAGUGUCAGCAUGACAUAGCUUUUCCCAUCUUUUUACUGUUAAUAUUUUAAACUCAAAAAAAGCAAGGAGGAAAACAGUAUGCUACUAUCUGUGUGAAAAUGGAAAAUAAGUAUGGAUAUAUUUGCUCAUAUGUAUAUAUAUAAUAUCUAUGGGAGAGGGAAAACCAAAAUAUCAGUUUGGAGGUCAACUGAUUAACUGGGGAAAAGAGAUGAGGGGAAAACUUCGCUGCAUACUCUACUAUCGUUGAAAUUUCUUAAACUUUUUCAUUGAGUAUAAUUCACAAAUCAUAAAACUCACCCUUUUAAAGUCUACACAUCAGUAGUUUUUAACACAUUUAUAUACAAAGUUGUGUAACUAUCAUCACUAAUUCCAGGACAUUUUCAUCACCCUUAAAAAAAAAGCCAUGUACCCAUUAGUAGUUAAUUCCCAUACCCCUCACCCCUCACUCACCCAUCUACUGCCCUUCACAAGACCCUGGCAACCACUAAUCUGCUUUCUGUCUCUAUGGAUUUGCCAACUCUUGAUGUUUCAUAUAAAUGGAAUCACACAAUAUGUGACCUUUUAUGUCUGGCUUCUUUCACUUAACAUCAUGUUUUUAAGGUUCAUCCAUGUUGUAGCAUGGAUCAGUACUUUGUUCCUUUUUGUAGCUGAGUAAUAUUACAUUGUAUGUAUAUACCAUAUUUUGUUGAUGUACUCAUUAGUUGACUGUUUUUCUAAAUUUUUGAAUUAUGAAAAUAUCCAUUCAAAAAUUAAACUUUAAAAAAUAGAAACAAAAUGAAAAAGCCCUUCUCAUAAAAAACAGAAAAAUGUAAAAAAAAAAAA
ensembl:lncRNA RAP2C-AS1 RAP2C antisense RNA 1